rnacentral:sRNA from 1 species
AAGGCUUGGUUAGUGUUUUGGAGUCAAAUAUGACUAGAUGUCAUGUGUAUGAUUGUGUAUAAGAACUAGAACUGCAACCGGUUCCCGAAAGCUAAAGGAGUAUUUCCUUGUUAGAAGAUACAAAGCGAAAGACUCAUACAGACUUCGCCUACACCAUCAAAGCUUUGAGAAGC